AUUGAACGCUGGCGGCAUGCUUUACACAUGCAAGUCGAACGGUAACAGGCCGCAAGGUGCUGACGAGUGGCGAACGGGUGAGUAAUGCAUCGGAACGUGCCCAGUCGUGGGGGAUAACUACUCGAAAGAGUAGCUAAUACCGCAUACGAUCUAUGGAUGAAAGCGGGGGACCGUAAGGCCUCGCGCGAUUGGAGCGGCCGAUGUCAGAUUAGGUAGUUGGUGGGGUAAAGGCUCUCCAAGCCAACGAUCUGUAGCUGGUCUGAGAGGACGACCAGCCACACUGGGACUGAGACACGGCCCAGACUCCUACGGGAGGCAGCAGUGGGGAAUUUUGGACAAUGGGCGCAAGCCUGAUCCAGCAAUGCCGCGUGCAGGAAGAAGGCCUUCGGGUUGUAAACUGCUUUUGUACGGAACGAAACGGCUCUGGUUAAUACCCGGGGCUAAUGACGGUACCGUAAGAAUAAGCACCGGCUAACUACGUG
rnacentral:rRNA from 1 species